rnacentral:rRNA from 1 species
ACGAACGCUGGCGGCGUGCCUAAUACAUGCAAGUCGAACGAGCUCUCCUAAAUUGAUUUUAUGCUUGCAUAAAUGAUUUUUAGAUUCGGAGCGAGUGGCGAACUGGUGAGUAACACGUGGGUAACCUGCCCCGAAGCGGGGGAUAACAUUUGGAAACAAAUGCUAAUACCGCAUAAUUAGUUGGAACCGCAUGGUUCCAACUUGAAAGAUGGCUCUGCUAUCACUUUGGGAUGGACCCGCGCCGUAUUAGUUAGUUGGUGAGAUAAAAGCCCACCAAGACGAUGAUACGUAGCCGACCUGAGAGGGUAAUCGGCCACAUUGGGACUGAGACACGGCCCAGACUCCUACGGGAGGCAGCAGUAGGGAAUCUUCCACAAUGGACGAAAGUCUGAUGGAGCAACGCCGCGUGAGUGAUGAAGGUUUUCGGAUCGUAAAACUCUGUUGUUAAAGAAGAACAAGUGUUAGAGUAACUGUUAACACUUUGACGGUAUUUAACCAGAAAGCCACGGCUAACUACGUGCCAGCAGCCGCGGUAAUACGUAGGUGGCAAGCGUUGUCCGGAUUUAUUGGGCGUAAAGCGAGCGCAGGCGGUUUUGUAAGUCUGCUGUGAAAGCCCUCAGCUCAACUGAGGAAGUGCAGUGGAAACUACAAAACUUGAGUACAGAAGAGGAAAGUGGAACUCCAUGUGUAGCGGUGAAAUGCGUAGAUAUAUGGGAAGAACACCAGUGGCGAAGGCGGCUUUCUGGUCUGUUACUGACGCUGAGGCUCGAAAGCAUGGGUAGCGAACAGGAUUAGAUACCCUGGUAGUCCAUGCCGUAAACGAUGAAUACUAGGUGUUGGAGGGUUUCCGCCCUUCAGUGCCGCAGCUAACGCAUUAAGUAUUCCGCCUGGGGAGUACGACCGCAAGGUUGAAACUCAAAGGAAUUGACGGGGGCCCGCACAAGUGGUGGAGCAUGUGGUUUAAUUCGAUGCUACGCGAAGAACCUUACCAGCUCUUGACAUCUUCUGCCAACCCAAGAGAUUGGGCGUUCCCUUCGGGGACAGAAUGACAGGUGGUGCAUGGUUGUCGUCAGCUCGUGUCGUGAGAUGUUGGGUUAAGUCCCGCAACGAGCGCAACCCUUAUUAUUAGUUGCCAGCAUUUAGUUGGGCACUCUAGUGAGACUGCCGGUGAUAAACCGGAGGAAGGUGGGGACGACGUCAAAUCAUCAUGCCCCUUAUGAGCUGGGCUACACACGUGCUACAAUGGAUGGUACAACGAGUCGCGAAACCGCGAGGUCAAGCUAAUCUCUUAAAGCCAUUCUCAGUUCGGAUUGCAGGCUGCAACUCGCCUGCAUGAAGUUGGAAUCACUAGUAAUCGUGGAUCAGCAUGCCACGGUGAAUACGUUCCCGGGCCUUGUACACACCGC